rnacentral:rRNA from 1 species
GAUCCUGGCUCAGGACGAACGCUGGCGGCGUGCCUAAUACAUGCAAGUUGAACGCUGAAGACUGGUACUUGUACUAGUUGGAUGAGUAGCGAACGGGUGAGUAACGCGUGGGUAACCUACCUCUUAGCGGGGGACAACUAUUGGAAACGAUAGCUAAUACCGCAUAACAAUCACUAACACAUGUUAGUGAUUUGAAAGCACCAAUUGGUGCACUAAGAGAUGGACCCGCGUUGUAUUAG